GUUACGGGGGAACUAAGCCGCCAUGCUCCACGUGACCGGCACGCGCGCCCAUGAAGACUACGGCUGUCCUUUGAUCCAGCAAUCCGAUCCCGAGUCGGACAUCUUCGGCUUCGCAGCUCGACCCCGAGUCGGCUGCCCCUUAAUCUAGCAAUCCGACCCCAAGUCGGAUAUCCUCAGCAACGCAGCCCGACCCCGAGUCGGCUGCCCCCUGAUCCAGCACUCCGACCCCGAGUCGGAGAUCUCUUGAUAACGACAGGCUGCUUCCCAGAGGCACGCCGAGGCCUCCUGC
rnacentral:lncRNA from 1 species